rnacentral:tRNA from 1 species
AUGGCUUAGUGGAUAGAGCACAGGCCUGGGGAGCCAGAGGACCUGGGUUCUAAUCCUGGU